rnacentral:rRNA from 1 species
CCUACGGGAGGCAGCAGUGGGGAAUAUUGGACAAUGGGCGAAGCCUGAUCCAGCCAUGCCGCGUGUGUGAAGAAGGUCUUCGGAUUGUAAAGCACUUUUAGUUGGGAGGAAGGGCAGUAUAUUAAUACCUUGCUGUUUUGACGUUACCGACACAAUACGCACCGGCUAACUUCGUGCCCCCAGCCGCGAUAAUA